rnacentral:rRNA from 1 species
CCUACGGGGAGCAGCAGUGGGGAAUAUUGGGCAAUGGGCGCAAGCCUGACCCAGCAACGCCGCGUGAAGGAAGAAGGCCCUCGGGUUGUAAACUUCUUUUGUCAGGGACGAAGAAAGUGACGGUACCUGACGAAUCAGCCACGGCUAACUACGUGCCAGCAGCCGCGGUAAUACGUAGGGGGCAAGCGUUAUCCGGAUUUACUGGGGGGAAAGGGCGAGUAGGCGGGACUGCAAGUCAGAUGUGAAAUUCCAGGGCUCAACCCUGGAACUGCAUUUGAUACUGGAGUGCUUGAGUGAUGGAGAGGCAGGCAGAAUUCCGUGUGUAGCGGUGAAAUGCGUAGAUAUGCGGAGGAACACCAGUGGCGAAGGCGGCCUGCUGGACAUUAACUGACGCUGAGGCGCGAAAGCGUGGGGAGCAAACAGGAUUAGAUACCCUUGUAGUC